UUUUCCCAGGGGAUUCCAGAUUUUCCCGGGAAUUCCCAAUUUUCCCGGGGGAUUCACAAUUUUUCCGGGAAUUCCUCAUUUUCCUGGGGAAUUUCUGAUUUUCCUGGGAAUUCACACUUUUCCUGGGGGAUUCCAGCCUUUCCCAUUUUUCCUGUUUUUCCCUUUUUUUUUUUCUCACUUUUCCCAUUUUUCCCAUUGUUUUUCCCAUUUUUCCCAUUGUUUUUCCCAUUUUUCCCGUUGUUUUUCCUGUUGUUUUUCCCAUUUGUUUUUCCCGUUGUUUUUCCCGUUGUUUUUCCCAUUUUUCCCAUUGUUUCUCCCGUUGUUUUUCCCGUUGUUUUUCCCGUUGUUUUUCCCAUUUUUCCCAUUGUUUUUCCCGUUGUUUUUCCUGUUGUUUUUCCCUUUGUUUUUCCUGUUUUUCCCGUUGUUUUUCCCGUUGUUUUUCCUGUUUUUCCCAUUGUUUUUCCCGUUGUUUUUCCCAUUUUUUUCCCAGUUUUUCCCGUUGUUUUUCCCGUUGUUUUUCCCAUUGUUUUUCCCGUUUUUCCCGUUGUUUUUCCCGUUGUUUUUCCUGUUUUUCUCGUUGUUUUUCCCAUUUUUCCCGUUUGUUUUUCCCAUUGUUUUUCCUGUUGUUUUUCCCAUUUUUCCCAUUGUUUUUCCCGUUGUUUUUCCCAUUGUUUUUCCCAUUUUUCCCGUUGUUUUUCCCGUUGUUUUUCCCAUUUUUCCUGUUGUUUUUCCCAUUGUUUUUCCCAUUUGUUUUUCCUGUUGUUUUUCCCGUUGUUUUUCCUGUUUUUCCUGUUGUUUUUCCCAUUGUUUUUCUCAUUGUUUUUCCCAUUUUUCCCGUUGUUUUUCCCGUUGUUUUUCCCGUUGUUUUUCCCAUUUUUCCCGUUGUUUUUCCCGUUGUUUUCCCAGCUACAAUCCCGACCUGGACUCGGAUCCCUUUGGAGAGGACGGGAGCCUCUGGUCCUUCAAUUAUUUCUUCUACAACAAGCGGCUCAAGCGGAUCGUCUUCUUCACUUGCCGCUCCAUCAGGUGAGGGGCGGCUCUUCCCGGGAAAUCCCGGAAUUCCGGGGGCGUUCCCGAGGGAAUCCCGCAAUUCCGGGGCUGUUCCCGGGAAAUCUCGGAAUUCCGGGGGCGUUCCCAGGAAAUCCCGGAAUUCCGGGGGCGUUCCCAAGGGAUUCUCGGAAUUCUGACCCCAUUCCCAAGGGUUUCCCCAGAAUUCCAACCCCAUUCCUGAGGGGAUUCCCGGAAUUCCAACCCCAUUCCUGAGGGUUUCCCUGGAAUUCCAGCCCCAUUCCCGAGGGGAUUCCCAGAAUGCUGACCCCAUUCGCAAGGGAAUUCCCAGAAUUCCAGCCCCGUUCCCGGAAUUCCAGCCCCAUUCCCGAGGGGAUUCCCGGAAUUCCAGCCCCGUUCCUGGAAUUCCAGCCCCGUUCCCGAGGGCAUUCCCGGAAUUCCAGCCCCAUUCCCAGAAUUCCAGCCCCAUUCCCAGAAUUCCAGCCCCGUUCCCGAGGGCAUUCCCAGAAUUCCAGCCCCAUUCCCGAGGCAUUCCCAGAAUUCCAGCCCCGUUCCCGAGGCAUUCCCAGAAUUCCAGCCCCGUUCCCGAGGGGAUUCCCGGGAUCCC
rnacentral:lncRNA from 1 species